GGAGGGAUGCCGGAGCGGUUGAUCGGAGCGGUCUUGAAAACCGCAGGGGCCGCCAAGCCCCCGGGGGUUCGAAUCCCUCUCCCUCCGCCA
rnacentral:tRNA from 1 species